rnacentral:rRNA from 1 species
UUGGAGGGCAAGUCUGGUGCCAGCAGCCGCGGUAAUUCCAGCUCCAAUAGCGUAUAUUAAAGUUGUUGCAGUUAAAAAGCUCGUAGUUGAAUUUCGAGACCGGUUUACUGGUCGUGCUUUUGUACGUACUGGUAUUAUUGGUUUCUCCUUUCUGACGAACUAUAAUGCCAUUAAUUUGGUGUUAUAGGGAAUCAGGACUGUUACUUUGAAAAAAUUAGAGUGUUUAAAGCAGGCUCACGCUUGAAUACAUUGGCAUGGAAUAACGGAAUAGGACGUUUGAUUCUAUUUUGUUGGUUUCUAGGGUUGACGUAAUGAUUAAUAGGGAUAGUUGGGGGCAUUAGUAUUCAAUUGUCAGAGGUGGAAUUCUUGGAUUUAUUGAAGACUAACUACUGCGAAAGCAUUUGCCAAGGACGUUUUCAUUAAUCAAGAACGAAAGUUAGGGGAUCGAAGACGAUCAGAUACCGUCGUAGUCUUAACCAUAAACUAUGCCGACUAGGGAUCGGAUGAUGUUAAUUUUUUAAUGACUCAUUCGGCGCCUUACGGGAAACCAAAGUGUUUGGGUUC